rnacentral:lncRNA from 1 species
UGAAUACACAUGGAGCUACUGACCAGAAUGCAAAAGUCACACAGGUCUAUAUUUGUAGCACUAGACAGGACAAUCUUACCACUUAUUAAUAUCUGUUUUACAUGCCAUCCGAGCUUGCAGACAAUAUCUGAUCCUUGUGCAGGAACAAUUGUAGAACCUGUUUAUUGUUGGCUAAGGUUCCAGAAAGUCCCAUUAUUUUUCCUUGAAUCCACACAUAAACACAGAAUGGGACAGGACUGAGAAUGAAAGUCCUUUCCUGGUUAACACAUUUCUCCCAAGCCCAUCUGUCACUCUGGAAGCAGUAUUAAAGCACUGCUGCUAAGAAAUACCACGAGGGGAACCUGAGAGUGAGCAUACUUUUCUUUACACAAGCAAAACAAAUGAUGAUCCAGGAAUUCCACUACUUCUGUUUAUUUUUAAAUAGAAUGAUUCACACUGCCUUGCAAGCACAUUGACUGUUAUACAGAAAAUUGAACAAAACCAAGAUAUUCUGUUACCUCACUAUUGAGGAUUUUUGCUUUCUUGAUAAAACACAGCCACACAAACUUUGUAGUUGCUCAUGGUUUGAGUUAGAAUCUCUUAAAAUACUUUAAUAUCAUAAGUUAAUACUACUUUGAAAAUGAUAAUCUCUGGACUAGUUACUCUUUUAAAAGUUCAGAUUAGAAAUUCAGUUUAAACUUCAUGAGACUAGAAGAUCCUGUGUGGAUGUAUGCUCUUUGUUAGUUUUUUGUUAGCUUCUCUACAACCCUGUGUAGGAAGAGAGAAAACAGGGACUUGACACUGUGUAGUAGUUGGCAGCAUCCUAAGACACUGGUUGAACUGAUGCCACAGAAACUGAAACGGAUGUGAAAGAUGAGCUGUCUGAUUUGGACACCUUCCAGAUGAAAGUAGUUUGGUCCAAGACCAAACCGAAGACACACAAAGACAGCUUAAAUGAUUUUUUUAGAAAGCAAAAUGUAUAUUCAUCUUUUUCUCAUCCAACCAUGAAAACAUUCCUUAUCUGAAAGGAGAUUCCUUAUCCUAGUAGUGAAAAAUCAGACUUAGACAGUUCCAUAGGUUGUCAACGAAGAACAUGAAGGCCCCCUAGCAACGUUCUACAGCACUCUUUGCAUGCAGACUUGGCUCUACGUUUCAACUGCCUACUGUAAGUAGCAGUAAUAUACUUUAGUAUUUGACUGUACAUGGAGCCUGUGUCUGGGAGCACUGAACAGUAGGUGGUCUGAAUAGCUCAUUACUUUCU